rnacentral:rRNA from 1 species
GUGCCAGCCGCCGCGGUAAUACGGAGGGUGCAAGCGUUAAUCGGAAUUACUGGGCGUAAAGCGUACGCAGGCGGUUUGUUAAGCGAGAUGUGAAAGCCCCGGGCUCAACCUGGGAACUGCAUUUCGAACUGGCAAACUAGAGUGUGAUAGAGGGUGGUAGAAUUUCAGGUGUAGCGGUGAAAUGCGUAGAGAUCUGAAGGAAUACCGAUGGCGAAGGCAGCCACCUGGGUCAACACUGACGCUCAUGUACGAAAGCGUGGGGAGCAAACAGGAUUAGAUACCCCCGUAGUCC